rnacentral:rRNA from 1 species
UACGGGGGGGGCAAGCGUUGUUCGGAAUUACUGGGCGUAAAGGGCGCGUAGGCGGCUCGCUAAGUCGGAUGUGAAAACUCUGGGCUCAACCCAGAGCCUGCAUUCGAAACUGACGAGCUCGAGUUCUGGAGGGGAAAGCGGAAUUCCUGGUGUAGCGGUGAAAUGCGUAGAUAUCAGGAGGAACACCGGUGGCGAAGGCGGCUUUCUGGACAGAAACUGACGCUGAGGCGCGAAAGCUAGGGGAGCAAACAGG